GUGCUCUGUGCUAACAAACUGGCUCUCUGGUAGACAAGCCUGCAUGUGUGAUACUUGCUGUCCUGGAUUUGUUAAGAGAAUCAUAUGGAGAGAGGAUUCAGGCACCCAGUCAGUCAGAGUCAGAGCCAGAGAAGGCUCCAUUGUGCAGUGUGCCCCCACCCCCUCCUUCAGCCUUUGCCGAAAUGGGUAGUGAUCACACACAGUCAUCUGCAAGCAAAAUCUCACAAGAUGUGGACAAAGAGGAUGAGUUUGGUUACAGCUGGAAAAAUAUCAGAGAGCGUUAUGGAACCCUAACAGGCGAGCUGCAUAUGAUUGAACUGGAGAAAGGUCAUAGUGGUUUGGGCCUAAGUCUUGCUGGGAACAAAGACCGAUCCAGGAUGAGUGUCUUCAUAGUGGGUAUUGAUCCAAAUGGAGCUGCAGGAAAAGAUGGUCGAUUGCAAAUUGCAGAUGAGCUUCUAGAGAUCAAUGGUCAGAUUUUAUAUGGAAGAAGUCAUCAGAAUGCCUCAUCAAUCAUUAAAUGUGCCCCUUCUAAAGUGAAAAUAAUUUUUAUCAGAAAUAAAGAUGCAGUGAAUCAGAUGGC
rnacentral:sRNA from 1 species